GGGCCCGCACAAGCGGUGGAGCAUGUGGUUUAAUUCGAUGCAACGCGAAGAACCUUACCAGGGUUUGACAUGAUACGAAUUUCUUUGAAAGAAGAAAGUGCCGUUUGGAACGUAUACACAGGUGGUGCAUGGCUGCCGUCAGCUCGUGUCGUGAGAUGUUGGGUUAAGUCCCGCAACGAGCGCAACCCUUGUUUUAGUUGCCUUUUAUGGAACUCUAAAAAGACUGCCGGUUAUAAACCGGAGGAAGGUGGGGAUGACGUCAAGUCAGCAUGCCCCUUACACCCUGGGCUACACACGUGCUACAUUGGGCGAGACAAUGAGAUGCAAAUCUGUGAAGACUAGCUAAUCUAUAAACUCGUUCUAAGUUCGGAUUGUAGGCUGCAACUCGCCUGCAUGAAGCUGGAAUCGCUAGUAA
rnacentral:rRNA from 1 species